UCUUUUGAAAGAAUCUUCGAAAGGAGAUGGAUGCAGAGGAAGGCGAGCUGUGUGAUCCCUGAUCCCGGGACGCUCAGGCACGGAUUUCGAGAUUGGGAGGCACCCUGUGCUCCUACAUCCCAGAUGAGGACUGCAAAGCCAUCCAUGGAGGAGAGGUGUUCACAGCAGCCAAAGAACAAGGCCAGAGAGCUUGUGGCCUACCUGGGACCCCACCAGGCUCUGAGCUCAGCUCAGAGCAAGAGGCAAUUCUAACAAGCAGCCAAGUUUGAGGACCCAUGUCAAGUGGUUGAGAUGAUUCUGAGAAGAAGGCUUAUCAGCUUCUGUUUGGAAAAGGAAGUAAAUGCUCAAGCAGAGAAGAUUCAGAAUCCUUCCUUUCCUGUGAAAGCUGUGACUCUCUUUUGAGGGUAGAAAUAUUUCUCCUUCUUCCUUUGGAAGGGGAACUCCACGGCUUU